rnacentral:rRNA from 1 species
AUUAAUAAUUAAUAUAUUUAAUAAAAAUAAUUUUAAUUUAAUAAAUAUUUUAAUGGGGGUUAAAGUAUUUUUUAAAGAAAAAAUUUUUAAAUUUAUAGUUAAUUAGUAUUGUGAAAGAAUUUUGAAAUAUUAUGAAAAAUAAAAUUUUUGUAAAGUAAUUUUUAUUUAUUGUAUCUUGUGUAUCAGAGUUUAUUAAAAAUUUUUAGUUUAUAAAUUAAUUUCUCGAAUUUAAAAGAGUUAAAUAAUUAUUAAAGUUAUUGUAGCAAAAUCAUUUUAAAUAAUUAUUUAGAAAUGAAAUGUUAAUCGUUUUUAAAUAUAUCUAGUUUUUAUAGAAAAAAAUUUAAUUUUAAAUUUAAAAAUUAUUUAAUUAAUUUAUUAAUUAAAUAAUUGUUUAAAUUUUAUAAUUUAAGGGAUAAGCUUUAAAUUAAAUUUUUAUAGUAUUAAAUUUUUAUUUUGAAAAUUUUAUAAUUUAUAUUGUUAAUAAAAUUUAUUUUGUUAUAAAUAAUUUCAUUUUUUUUAAAAUUUAAAUUUUAUUUAAUUUUUUAUAUAAAAUUUAUUUAUAAUUAUAUAAAGUUAAUUAUAAUGAUAAAAUUAGUAUAUUAUUUAAUAUUAAAUUAAAAUUAAUUUUUGAUUAAUAAUUAAAUUAAUUAAAAGGAAUUCGGCAAAUAUUUAUUUUCACUUGUUUAUCAAAAACAUGUCUUUUUGUUAUUUAAUUUAAAGUCUAAUCUGCCCACUGAUUUAUAAAAAUUGAAGGGCUGCAGUAUAUUGACUGUACAAAGGUAGCAUAAUCAUUAGUCUCUUAAUUGGUGACUUGUAUGAAAGAUUGGAUGAAAAAUAUACUGUCUCUUAAUUAAUAUAUAGAAUUUAAUUUUUUAUUUAAAAAGUUAAAAUAAUUUAAAAAGACGAGAAGACCCUAUAGAGUUUAAUAAAUUAUUUUAUGAAAGUUUUAUUUAUAUUUAUUAAUAAUUUUAUAAAUUUAUUUAUUUUGUUGGGGUGAUAAAAAAAUAAGUUUAACUUUUUUUAAGUAAUUUACAUGAAUAAGUGAUUAAU